rnacentral:rRNA from 1 species
UAGGGAAUAUUGGUAAUGUGCGAAAGCGCGAACCAGCAACGCCGCGUGCAUGAUGAAGGCCUUCGGGUCGUAAAGUGCUUUUAGAGAGGAUGAGGAAGGACAGUACUUUCUGAAUAAGCCUCGGCUAACUACGUGCCAGCAGCCGCGGUAAAACGUAGGAGGCUAGCGUUAUCCGGAUUUACUGGGCGUAAAGCGCAUGCAGGUGGUUUUGUAAGUUGGAUGUGAAAGCUCCUGGCUUAACUGGGAGAGGUCGUUCAAAACUACAAGACUUGAGAUUGGUAGAGGAAAAUGGAAUUCCGGGUGUAGUGGUGAAAUGCGUAGAUAUCCGGAGGAACACCAGUGGCGAAAGCGGUUUUCUGGACCAAUUCUGACACUCAGAUGCGAAAGCUAAGGUAGCAAACG